CCUGGCGGCAGUAGCGCGGUGGUCCCACCUGACCCCAUGCCGAACUCAGAAGUGAAACGCCGUAGCGCCGAUGGUAGUGUGGGGUCUCCCCAUGUGAGAGUAGGGAACCGCCAGGU
rnacentral:rRNA from 1 species